ACGCAAUAGAUACCCUGUAGUCCAGCCGUAAACGGAUGCUCGCUAGGUGUCAGGCAUGGCGCGACCGUGUCUGGUGCCGCAGGGAAGCCGUGAAGCGAGCCACCUGGGAAGUACGGCCGCAAGGCUGAAACUUAAAGGAAUUGGCGGGGGAGCACAACAACGGGUGGAGCCUGCGGUUUAAUUGGACUCAACGCCGGACAACUCACCGGGGGCGACAGCAAUAUGUAGGCCAAGCUGAAGACUUUGCCUGAAUCGCUGAGAGGAGGUGCAUGGCCGUCGCCAGUUCGUACUGUGAAGCAUCCUGUUAAGUUCAGGCAACGAGCGAGACCCGUGCCCACUGUUACCAGCAUGUCCUCCGGGACGA
rnacentral:rRNA from 1 species